rnacentral:rRNA from 1 species
GAGUUGAUCUUGGCUCAGGAUGAACGCUGGCGGCGUGCCUAAUACAUGCAAGUCGAGCGAACGGACGAGAAGCUUGCUUCUCUGAUGUUAGCGGCGGACGGGUGAGUAACACGUGGAUAACCUACCUAUAAGACUGGGAUAACUUCGGGAAACCGGAGCUAAUACCGGAUAAUAUUUUGAACCGCAUGGUUCAAAAGUGAAAGACGGUCUUGCUGUCACUUAUAGAUGGAUCCGCGCUGCAUUAGCUAGUUGGUAAGGUAACGGCUUACCAAGGCAACGAUGCAUAGCCGACCUGAGAGGGUGAUCGGCCACACUGGAACUGAGACACGGUCCAGACUCCUACGGGAGGCAGCAGUAGGGAAUCUUCCGCAAUGGGCGAAAGCCUGACGGAGCAACGCCGCGUGAGUGAUGAAGGUCUUCGGAUCGUAAAACUCUGUUAUUAGGGAAGAACAUAUGUGUAAGUAACUGUGCACAUCUUGACGGUACCUAAUCAGAAAGCCACGGCUAACUACGUCG